UACGGGGGGGGGCAAGCGUUGUUCGGAAUUACUGGGCGUAAAGGGUUCGUAGGUGGCCAGCUUAAGUCAGACGUGAAAUCCCUCAGCUUAACUGGGGAACUGCGUCUGAGACUGGUGAGCUUGAGUGCAGGAGAGGAACGCGGAAUUCCUGGUGUAGCGGUGAAAUGCGCAGAUAUCAGGAGGAACACCGGUGGCGAAGGCGGCAUCCUGGACCGGCAUUGACGCUGAGGCGCGAAAGCUAGGGGAGCAAACGGG
rnacentral:rRNA from 1 species